GAGGGUGUAGCUCAGUGGUAGAGUGUGUGCUUAGCAUGCACAAAGUCCUGGGUUCAAUCCCUAGUACCUCCA
rnacentral:tRNA from 1 species